GAUUGAACGCUGGCGGCAGGCCUAACACAUGCAAGUCGAACGGUAACAGGAAGAAGCUUGCUUCUUUGCUGACGAGUGGCGGACGGGUGAGUAAUGUCUGGGAAACUGCCUGAUGGAGGGGGAUAACUACUGGAAACGGUAGCUAAUACCGCAUAACGUCGCAAGACCAAAGAGGGGGACCUUAGGGCCUCUUGCCAUCGGAUGUGCCCAGAUGGGAUUAGCUAGUAGGUGGGGUAAAGGCUCACCUAGGCGACGAUCCCUAGCUGGUCUGAGAGGAUGACCAGCCACACUGGAACUGAGACACGGUCCAGACUCCUACGGGAGGCAGCAGUGGGGAAUAUUGCACAAUGGGCGCAAGCCUGAUGCAGCCAUGCCGCGUGUAUGAAGAAGGCCUUCGGGUUGUAAAGUACUUUCAGCGGGGAGGAAGGUGUUGUGGUUAAUAACCACAGCAAUUGACGUUACCCGCAGAAGAAGCACCGGCUAACUCCGUGCCAGCAGCCGCGGUAAUACGGAGGGUGCAAGCGUUAAUCGGAAUUACUGGGCGUAAAGCGCACGCAGGCGGUCUGUCAAGUCGGAUGUGAAAUCCCCGGGCUCAACCUGGGAACUGCAUUCGAAACUGGCAGGCUUGAGUCUCGUAGAGGGGGGUAGAAUUCCAGGUGUAGCGGUGAAAUGCGUAGAGAUCUGGAGGAAUACCGGUGGCGAAGGCGGCCCCUGGACGAAGACUGACGCUCAGGUGCGAAAGCGUGGGGGAGCAAACAGGAUUAGAUACCCUGGUAGUCCACGCCGUAAACGAUGUCUAUUUGGAGGUUGUGCCCUUGAGGUGUGGCUUCCGGAGCUAACGCGUUAAAUAGACCGCCUGGGGAGUACGGCCGCAAGGUUAAAACUCAAAUGAAUUGACGGGGGCCCGCACAAGCGGUGGAGCAUGUGGUUUAAUUCGAUGCAACGCGAAGAACCUUACCUGGUCUUGACAUCCACAGAACUUUCCAGAGAUGGAGGGGUGCCUUCGGGAACUGUGAGACAGGUGCUGCAUGGCUGUCGUCAGCUCGUGUUGUGAAAUGUUGGGUUAAGUCCCGCAACGAGCGCAACCCUUAUCCUUUGUUGCCAGCGGUUAGGCCGGGAACUCAAAGGAGACUGCCAGUGAUAAACUGGAGGAAGGUGGGGAUGACGUCAAGUCAUCAUGGCCCUUACGACCAGGGCUACACACGUGCUACAAUGGCGCAUACAAAGAGAAGCGAACUCGCGAGAGCAAGCGGACCUCAUAAAGUGCGUCGUAGUCCGGACUGGAGUCUGCAACUCGACUCCAUGAAGUCGGAAUCGCUAGUAAUCGUGGAUCAGAAUGCCACGGUGAAUACGUUCCCGGGCCUUGUACACACCGCC
rnacentral:rRNA from 2 species